CCUACGGGAGGCAGCAGUGAGGAAUAUUGGUCAAUGGACGCAAGUCUGAACCAGCCAUGCCGCGUGCAGGAAGACGGCUCUAUGAGUUGUAAACUGCUUUUGUACGAGGGUAAACGCAGAUACGCGUAUCUGUCUGAAAGUAUCGUACGAAUACGGAUCGGCUAACUCCGUGCCAGCAGCCGCGGUAAUACGGAGGAUUCAAGCGUUAUCCGGAUUUAUUGGGUUUAAAGGGUGCGUAGGCGGUCGGAUAAGUUAGAGGUGAAAUCCCGAGGCUCAACUUCGGACUUGCCUCUGAUACUGUUCGGCUAGAGAGUAGUUGCGGUAGGCGGAAUGUAUGGUGUAGCGGUGAAAUGCUUAGAGAUCAUACAGAACACCGAUUGCGAAGGCAGCUUACCAAGCUACUUCUGACGUUGAGGCACGAAAGCGUGGGGAGCGAACAGGAUUAGAUACCCGAGUAGUC
rnacentral:rRNA from 1 species